rnacentral:rRNA from 1 species
UACGUAGGGAGCAAGCGUUGUCCGGAAUCAUUGGGCGUAAAGAGCGCGUAGGUGGCUUUAUAAGUCCGUUGUGAAAGUCAAAGGCUCAACCUUUGAAAGCCGAUGGAUACUGUGAAGCUAGAGUACGGAAGAGGCGAGUGGGAUUCCUGGUGUAGCGGUGGAAUGCGCAGAUAUCAGGAGGAACACCAAUAGCGAAGGCAGCUCGCUGGGACGUUACUGACACUGAGGCGCGAAAGCGUGGGGAGCGAACAGG